UUAAGUUCAGCGGGUAAUCCUACCUGAUUUGAGGUCAAACGACAUAUAUAUGCGGGUCAAACGACGCAUAUAUCCCGUUGUCUUUCGACGGUUGGGAGCAACCCGUCUUGAUCCUAACAAUGCUUUUUAUUAUCACAUUGCGCGUGAUCAAGGCAGACCGCUAAUGCAUUUAGGAUGAGUCGUGUAAUUCCCACAACAAC
rnacentral:misc_RNA from 1 species